UAUUACAUGUUCUUACAAGCUAAUAUAUUUUUUUUAAGUAUGAUACUUUGGAAAAUGUUUUUUUGUACUCGUUCAAUAGAAACUUAUCUGGCCACUGGGUAAAGCUAGCAAUAAAACUAUUGGUGCGCAAUGUGUUAAGGUCAGAAAAGAGAAGUA